GGGCGUGUAGCUCAGUGGUAGAGCAGGGGCCUCUUAAGCCCUUGGCCGUGGGUUCGAAUCCCCCCACGCCCACCA
rnacentral:tRNA from 1 species